AUCACAAGAGCACCAGGAUUCUGUUUGGGGUUGCCAUGGAUAUAGAGUUCCUAUUACAGAACUGACUUAUUCUCAGUAUGAGGUAAAGACUUAGAGGUGAGGGUCUCUCAGCAAGGGAGUCCCACCCCAUCCUCUGCCCUCUCUGUUAGCUCAUGUUGUCCUCUCAUCCUCAUCAGAAUUAAAAUUGUAAAGUUUUGGUGGGGGAACUAGAUGGUGGUCUCUGGGGCCCAUAGACAGGAAAGUUUGCUUACACUCAGCUGGGGGGAACACUAAUUGACAUUCCUUUCCCCUCCCAGGGACCUUACAGAGUCCCCUUAUCCUCAGGGUACUGGGGGACAACCAGUGGGUGUAGGGCCAAAUAGCAGUAACCUUAUUACUUGCCAGGAAUUGGGUAAAGAUUUGAUUUAAUGAGCUUGAUUUUGGGAACUAAAAAAGGAAAAAAGGAAAAGCCAUAAUCCUGAAAGGCAACAGAAGAGAAAACUGCUAACAAGAUCUUGAUUAAAUUUCUCCCUCUUACAGAAUGUUGUACUGAAGACACAAGACCUGAGACUUGUGUUAUUCUAGCAGCUGAACUGACCCCAGCCUCUUCUGAGCAGCCGUGGCGCCUGAAGCAGUCUGGCCUACAGAGUUAUGGAUUCAUUAACAGAUCCUACUGUAUGCUCUGACAGCUACGACCACAAUGGUCCACCCACAAAUGAAUUAUCAGGCACGAAC